rnacentral:rRNA from 1 species
UGAACGCUAGUGGCAGGCUUUACACAUGCAAGUUGAACGGGCCUUUAAAAAGGCCCGUGGCGGACGGGUGCGUAAUACAUAGGUAAUUUGCCCUAAAAUUCAGGAUAAGUGCUUUAGCAUUAAUACUGGAUAAUACAUAAAGAUUAAAUCGUUUUAGGAUAAGCUUAUGCAAGAUUAGGUAUUUGGUUAGGGUAAUAUCUAACUUAGCCGAAGAUCUUUAGCUGAUUUGAGAGGAUGAUCGGCCACACCGGGACUGAGACACGGCCCGGACUCCGCAAGGGGGCAGCAGUGCGGAAUCUUGGACAAUGGGCGAAAGCCUGAUCCAGCCAUGCCACGUGAGUGAAGACGGCCCAUAGGUUGUAAAGCUCUUUCGUUAAGGAGGAUAAUGACAGUACUUAAAAAAGAAGCCCCGGCUAACUCC